rnacentral:rRNA from 1 species
GACGAACGCUGGCGGCGUGCUUAACACAUGCAAGUCGAACGGAAAGGCCCCCACUUUUUUGGUGGGGGUGCUCGAGUGGCGAACGGGUGAGUAACACGUGGGUGAUCUGCCCUGUACUUCGGGAUAAGCUUGGGAAACUGGGUCUAAUACCGGAUAGGACCAUGGUUUAGUGUCUCAUGGUGGAAAGAUUAUUGUUUUGGUGCAGGAUGAGCUCGCGGCCUAUCAGCUUGUUGGUGGGGUAAUGGCCUACCAAGGCGUCGACGGGUAGCCGGCCUGAGAGGGUGGACGGCCACAUUGGGACUGAGAUACGGCCCGGACUCCUACGGGGGGCAGCAGUGGGGAAUAUUGCACAAUGGGCGCAAGCCUGAUGCAGCGACGCCGCGUGGGGGAUGACGGCCUUCGGGUUGUAAACUCCCUUCGUUAGGGACGAAGCCACAUUUUUUUGGGUGUGGUGACGGUACCUUUGUUAAGAAGCACCGGCUAACUACGUGCCAGCAGCCGCGGUAAUACGUAGGGUGCGAGCGUUGUCCGGAAUUACUGGGCGUAAAGAGCUCGUAGGUGGUUUGUUGCGUCGUCUGUGAAUUCCGGGGCUUAACUUCGGGGUGGCAGGCGAUACGGGCAUAACUAGAGUGCUGUAGGGGAGACUGGAAUUCCUGGUGUAGCGGUGGAAUGCGCAGAUAUCAGGAGGAACACCGAUGGCGAAGGCAGGUCUCUGGGCAGUAACUGACGCUGAGGAGCGAAAGCAUGGGGAGCGAACAGGAUUAGAUACCCUGGUAGUCCAUGCUGUAAACGGUGGGCGUUAGGUGUGGGGACCGGUUUGGUUUCUGUGCCGUAGCUAACGCAUUAAGCGCCCCGCCUGGGGAGUACGGCCGCAAGGCUAAAACUCGAAGGAAUUGACGGGGGCCCGCACAAGCGGCGGAGCAUGUGGAUUAAUUCGAUGCAACGCGAAGAACCUUACCUGGGUUUGACAUGCACCAGACGGUUGUAGAGAUACGUACCUCCCUUUGUGGUUGGUGUGCAGGUGGUGCAUGGUUGUCGUCAGCUCGUGUCGUGAGAUGUUGGGUUAAGUCCCGCAACGAGCGCAACCCUCGUCUUAUGUUGCCAGCACGUUUGGGUGGGGACUCAUGAGAGACUGCCGGGGUUAACUCGGAGGAAGGUGGGGAUGACGUCAAAUCAUCAUGCCCUUUAUGCCCAGGGCUUCACACAUGCUACAAUGGUUAGUACAACGCGCUGCGAACCUGUGAGGGUGAGCGAAUCGCUGAAAGCUAAUCUCAGUUCGGAUUGGGGUCUGCAACUCGACCCCAUGAAGUCGGAGUCGCUAGUAAUCGCAGAUCAGCAAUGCUGCGGUGAAUACGUUCCCGGGCCU